UGCUUGAAUUUUUCGUAUUACAGCAAAAUAGUAGAUAUGUUUGAAUGACUUUGCAAACACUGGUUACUUUUCAAUUGUCAGUCUGAAAACUGGUUAUCCCAUACUAUUUUGGAAACUUUACCGCCUAUAGAAUAAGUUAGUACCCUAUUAUAGUGUAUAGCAAAAAAAUUUAAAUAUAGUUCAAUCCUACAAUUAAGGCACAAUAUAUGCUACAAAAUAUUUUUCUCUCUCAUUUUUAUAUUUUCUCUCAUCUGAUUAGCGUAUAUCUCAUCUGACCAGCUUUUCUCUCUUUUCUUCCUUACACUUUUCCCCCAUCUCCCAUAAACGCACGUUUCAGAAAUCUUCAUAAACCCUCUCCGCCAUUAUCACCUCUAUUUCUCUGUCAUUAUCACCUAUCUCGUUCAAAAUCAUCUGGGAUUUCUGACGAAUCGGCGAGGGUUUAAAGGGGAAGAGACAAGUGGGUGAAUUUGCGGAUAAUAGAAAUAGUGGGGUUAGAAGAAUAAAAGAAAACGAAGAGAGAAAAGGCAGUGAAGAUGAAGUUAGGGAAGGAGUCAACUCACAUUCAGUUAUGUGAUUUUUACAUAAUUAUUGAUUGUUAAAUAUUCUGUGAGUUUGACAUUCUGUUUUAGAUAUCGCCUCCGUCAACUCAUAUUUAGUUCUUCGUCUGUUUAUUUUCCUACGUCAAAAAAACCCUAGUCCUUCACGCCCAUACCACCGACACGGUUUUAUCAGUUCAUAGAAAAAUCUUCCCUUGGCAUUUUCAUGUAUUUAAUAUAUUUUUAAUGUAUCAAGCUAUAUUUUUCAUGUAUUUUAUUGUAUUCAUUGUGUUUUUUAAUUGUAAUUAAAUGUAUCUCGCUGUAUUCCUUUUAUUGUAUUCACUGCCUUUUUUUUCAUUGUAUCCCGCUGUAUUUUAUGUAUUUUAGUGUAUUCA
rnacentral:lncRNA from 1 species